GACGAACGCUGGCGGCGUGCCUAAUACAUGCAAGUCGAACGCUUCUUUCCUCCCGAAUGCUUGCACUCAAUUGGAAAGAGGAGUGGCGGACGGGUGAGUAACACGUGGGUAACCUACCCAUCAGAGGGGGAUAACACUUGGAAACAGGUGCUAAUACCGCAUAACAGUUUAUGCCGCAUGGCAUAAGAGUGAAAGGCGCUUUCGGGUGUCGCUGAUGGAUGGACCCGCGGUGCAUUAGCUAGUUGGUGAGGUAACGGCUCACCAAGGCCACGAUGCAUAGCCGACCUGAGAGGGUGAUCGGCCACACUGGGACUGAGACACGGCCCAGACUCCUACGGGAGGCAGCAGUAGGGAAUCUUCGGCAAUGGACGAAAGUCUGACCGAGCAACGCCGCGUGAGUGAAGAAGGUUUUCGGAUCGUAAAACUCUGUUGUUAGAGAAGAACAAGGACGUUAGUAACUGAACGUCCCCUGACGGUAUCUAACCAGAAAGCCACGGCUAACUACGUG
rnacentral:rRNA from 1 species